AUGUUGUUGGAUGGCACCAGUAUGUGACGUUCCUAGGAACUUAGCUCUGAGGAAAAAACAAAGCAAACCGGGGAAGUACGUAGCCUUGAACCGGAGUAACCAGGGACAGAAAGGAAGGAAAAGGGUUUCAUACCUUCACGGAACGACGCUCACUUCGUCCGCCUGAGGAGGAAAAAUAAGUUUAAACCUUUCUGUGAAAAAGAACGUGGAGCCCUUUCUGCCGAAUGGAAACCCGCUAAACCCCGUUAUGGAGUCUGCUACAAUUAAGCAUCUAACCAGGAAUUGUCUAUGGACACAACUCUCCAGGCAAUUCAUGCAGAAAGUGUGUUGACGAUUUCCUGUUUCUUGCAGAGCGCUUCACCGUUAAGGCUCUUAGUAGCUGGCGAUUGUAAAGCACAUUUUCCGCUUCAUGAAAAUACAGUGCUCUUCUUGUGUUUGUAACCUUGGAAAGUAAGUCUGCUAUGAUAAGUUUAGGGAAGUGGCGGGGAGCUACUUUCCUAACAUAUCUGUGAUUGUUUUGAUACUUCUCAGUUUCUCGCGGGCAUUUCCUGCGUUCUCUAUAGGGCUCUCUUGCACUGAAUAAGGAAAGGAGGAAUUCUCUCUGCAUUGAGGCUAUUAUCGCACAUUGUGCGGUGGAUAUAGUCACGCGCUGGGUCGUAGUAGCGUGUCGUUUAUUUCAGUCCAGCUCACUCUUGGUAGAAUCCCUUUAUUCGUUUUGUUGUUUUUGAUAGUCUCUCUCUGCUUCCCAGGCUAGAGUGCAAUGGCGCUAUCUCGACUCACUGUAGCCUCCGCCUUGAGGGCUCAAGCGAUCCUCUCACCUCAGCCUCCCGAGUAGCUGGGACCGUAGACGCCUGCUCCCCAUCCCCGCUAUAUUCGUUCUUUAAUACAGUCUCUCAGCUUGUUCAGCUGCCACUUCUGUGCAGCUCAUUAGCCUGAUCGGUGAAAACUAGGCGAGACGCGCACACUGACCCUGCAGUGCAUCUUGGGAGUUGUAGUCAUAACUAAUCAAUGGUCUUGUUAAAACGUGCUUAUGUUUUGACCAGAUCGCUUAAGUGUGGACACCCUUCAGCAGUACACUACAACGUGGGUCAGUGUACAGAACACAUGCUGAUAGAAAUAAUUUCAAAAUCUGGAUUCAUAGUUUUUUUUUUUAAUCUAGAGACCUCAGAAAAUGUACUUGAAGAAAAUCAUCAUAAUAUAAUACAUAACAAUAGAGCCAAUUAAUUGAUGUGAUGAAAGUGGACAAAAUGUAUUUUGACCUCAGAGAAAAUAACAUUUCUGUCUUGGAAGAGUCAGAGAAUGCUUCACACAAUUUUUGAGCCUGAUGUUAGACUCUCCAGCCUUCUGUCCAAGCCUCACCCUUUGGUUACUCCCCAGGAAGACUGAACUUGGGAAGAGGAUUGUGCAGACCCUGGAGUCAGGCUUGGCGUUUGGGAUAGGGAAUACUAGAGUGCCCACAGCAUGGUCUGGAAAAGGGAAAGUGGGCUGCAGGUGGCUACAGUCCCAUGAUUCCAUGGAUUUCAGACCCCUCCAAAGCACAGGGCUCAGUGCUUAUCCAAGUCUGAGGGCCCCCCAUAACCACAUCUUCCCCAGCAGAUGUUCUUUGCUUCAGGCAGUCAUCAAAGUUCCACUUCAAAGAGUUGCUAACCAAAUAAGCCCACAAUCUUCCUUUUUUGUUGUUUUGAAUAAGUAAUGCCUUUACACAUAUGAAAUUAAAAAGAGAGGCCGGGCAUGGUGGCUCACGCCUGUAAUCCCAGCACUUUGGGAGGGCGAGGUGGGCAGAUUGCCCGAGGUCAGGAGAUCCAGACCAGCCAGGCCAACGUGGUGAAACCCUGUCUCUGCUAAAAAUACAAAAAUCAGCUGGGCGUGGUGGUGGGGGCCUGUAAUCCCAGCUACUUGGGAGGCCGAGGUAGGAGAAUCGCUUCAACCUGGGAGGCAGAGGUUGCAGUGAGCCAAGAUUGCACCACUGCACUCCAGCCUGGGGGACAGUGUGACAGACUGUCUCAAAAAAAAAAAAAAAAAAAAAGGCAAAGAUAUAUAGUGAAAACUAAGUCUUCUUUUAGUCUUUGUCUCCUGCCACUCAUAGAAUUUUCCUCUUGGAAUCACCUCUAUUCCAUUUUCCUGUGUAUGUUGCCAGAGCAGGGCUGGCUUCAUGGUGGUGACCUGUACAGAUAGGCACUUGGUUUAAUGUUUUGCUGUCACUAACUUGAAAUUCAGGAAAGUUUCUGGACAAGGGCCCUGCGGUUUUAUUUUGCACUGGGCCCACAAAGUAUGUAUCUAGUCCUAUUCCAGAGAUAUUCUAUGCAUAUACAGGUAAUUAUAUGUAGAUAUGUAUGUAGUGGUCCAGUAGUGGUCCAGGGCCUGUUAGGAACUGGGCGGCACAGCAGAAGGUGAGUGGCAGGGGAGCCAGCAUUUCGGCCUGAGCUCUGCCCCCUGUCAGAUGAGCAGGGGCAUUACAUUCUGGUAGGAGUGAGAACCCUAUUGUAAACUGCACAUGCAAGGGAUCUAACCUGUGCACUCCUUAUGAGAAUCCAACUCCCCCUUUCCAUGGAAAAAUUGUCUUCCACAAAACCAGUCCCUGGUGUCAAAAAGGUUGGGGACCUCUGUAGUAGGCUACCAUCUAGGUUUGUUUAGGUACACUCUAUGAUGUUCACACAACAAAAAAUCACCUGAUGAUGCAUUUUUCAGAAAGCAUCCCCAUUGUUAAGGGACACAUGACUGUAAUGGAAUACUAUUCUUUUCCUUCCUUUUUAUUUUUUGUGGAGACAGGGUCUCUACAUGUUGGUGCCCAGGCUGGUCUCACACUCCUGAGCUUAAGGGAUCUGCCUGCUUUGACCUCCCAAAGUGCUGGGAUUACAAGUGUGAGCCACCAUAUCUGAACCCCUGUCCCCCACUUUUUUUUUCUUUCUUUUUUUCCAUACACAGUCCAGGCUGGAGUGCAGAGGUGUCAUCUCGGCUCACUGCAACCUCCGUCUCCCGGAUUCUAACGAUUCUCCUGCCUCAUCCUCCUGAGUAGCUGGGAUUAUAGGUGUCCGCCACCACGCCCAGCUAAUUUUUGUAUUUUUAGUAGAGAUGGGGUUUCACCAUGUUGGUGAGGCUGGUCUCAAACUCUUGACCUCAUGUGAUCCACCUGCCUCAGCCUCCCAAAAUACUGGGAUUACAGGGGUGAGCCACCGUGCCCAGGACAGCCUUUUUUGGGUCAGUGUGUAUAUAGAGCUAACUCAUUCUACUUAAUGGCUACAUAGUAUCCCACUGUGAUAGCCGCAAAAGGCAGACAAAUCCUAGGCAGACAGGGGCAGGUCCCUGGUGAAACCCUUCAAGCUGAGGACAGUUUAAAGGCUAGCCACAAGACCAGGAUAAAUCCACAGACCAGAUUGAGAACCUCUCUUCCCAUUUGGCGUGCUUUCUUCUGAUUGAUCCCCACCCUUCACCUAUUUUACACAUAUCCUUUCCUAAUUGUUUUUUUACACUGUUGUACCUACCUUUGAGUGGUGCUGUUGUUUUAGCCUUUUUUGCAUACUCACAAACCAAUCAGCAUGCACGCCUUCAUUCUGAGCCCAUAAAAGCUGUGGACUCAGCCGCACUGAGAGAGAGACCACCUGACUUUGAGUGAGGGACCACCCUUGCAUCCUCUCUCUCCUGAGAGCUGUUUCAUAGUUCAAAUAAAACUCUUCUCCACCCUCCUCACCCUUUGAUUGUCAGCGUAACCUCAUUCUUGGACGCUGAAGAAAAAUUCGGGACCCACCAAACGCAGAUACAAAGAAGGCUGUACACACUGUGGCCCUUUGCCCUCUGCUGGUGGAGGGCAACCGUCCCACACAACGCGAUGGGAAGCAGCAGUGGGGCAGAGCCAGUCCUGAAGCCACGGGCCUGAGUGGGGCAAUGGGACUGAUAGAGCUGUUAACAUGCCACUGUCCGUUGGCCUGCAGACGGCAGAACUAAAAGAGUGCUUAGCAUACUGUAACACCUCUGGGGCUUCAGGGUCAUGAGCACCCCUGUUUGGGUGCCACCACAUUUCCCUCAAUGUGACACACCUGGUCCAGCCACAAGCCCCGCACAGAGCCCACUCCUGCCCUGUACUCGUUCACUCACACACCCCCUCCUGCCAGGGGCUGAGGCCAUGGUGGCUGCAGGAUUCGUGCCUGAGCACAAGCCAGACACAUCCUGGUGGGCCGAGUAGUUGGGGUGUUGCUGGCCGGAGGUCUCCAGCUGUCAAAGUGGCCAAGAAAAAUCCUGCAUCAACUGUACAAAUGUACCCUAAUUUAUUUAACUCAUUUAUUGUAUAUUUGUGUCAUUUCCAAUGGUUCGUAAUUUCAAACAUAUGAUUGUGCAAAAGUUGUUUUAUGUGUGCCAAUAUCUUUGUAGGUUAAUUUCCUAGAGCAAAGUUUUUCAACCUAAGCACCACUGACAUCUGGGGCUGGAUAAUUUGUUGUGAGGGGCUGUCAUGUGCGUUAUACGAUGUAUCCUAUCCACCCCUAUAUGUUAUGAAAAAUAUUUCAGUGGCCAGAAUCCUUUCAAUGACUUAAAAAGCCCUUUUCAUCCUGCUUCUGCCUACCUCUCCAGCUGCAUCUUAGUACCCGCACACUCUUUUUUCAUACUCAUGCCCCUGCUUGCUGUCUUUGCACAGGUAUUCUCUUUGUCUGGAGCUUUCUUCCUCACCAAUCAUCUCCUAAUAACUCCCAUUUUAUCUUUUAAAUGUUGCCACUAUUAUCACUUCCUUGGAGGAGCCUUCUUGGACUGCCUAUUUCAAAUCCCCUGGGUUUUUUUUUUUUCUUUGACAAAAGCCACAUUCGAACAAAUCCCCCUUGGAAUGUUACAAUUACCAAAAAAUCCAAUUUAAACUAGUUUAAAUGAUAAGAGAAUUUAUUGGCUCACAUAAAUGAGAAGUCUGAAGAUAAGGUGAACCUCAGGUUGAUUUGAGUGACUUAACAGUAUCAGCAGGAACUUGAUUUCCUUCUACCUCUCAAUUUUCUUUCUGAUGUCAGAUUCAUCCUAAGGCUUACUCCUUUUGUAUCAUAAAAUGGUGGCCAGGAUCUCCCAAGGUUAUGUAGUUCUUUGUCCAUAUCAAAAGAGAGUUUCUUUCACAUAUUUCACAGUUUCAAUGUGAUUAAAUUAAUUUAGGUCACAUGUCCGCCCCUAAACCUAGAGUUUUGUGGUCUAGAGAAUGUCAAGCACUGAUUGGCCAGGGCAAAUCAAGGCCUAUCCUUGGAACUGGAAGUUACGUUAAUCCCACCUAAAUCCCAUGAAUGUUACUCUAUGAGGUAUCGGUAAAAUCGAUGCUAGGAAUACAAUCAGAAUCCAUUAUAUCCUAUUACACGCUUAUAGCACCAUGCACCCCUCCAUUGUAGCACCUGUCAUACUUGUAGCUUUAUAUUUAUUUGUAUGAUUUCUGAUUAAUAACUGUCUUCUCAUCCAGAUGAAAAACCUCUAUUAGUCCAGGGAACUGCAUUUUUUCUCACCAUUGUAUCUCUAGUCUAGCACAGGGUGUCAAACAUAGCAGGUUCUCAAUAACUAUUGAAAGAAUGAAACUUCCCUUAGAAGUUUACUACUCAAUUUGACAUUCCCUUUAGCAGGCAAUUUAAUAGCUACCAUAUCAGACUUAUAUUACAUAUUUGAAAGUCCCAGACUGAGAUCUCUAAUUUCUAUCUCCAGGCAGUCAGUUCUUGACACACCACUGAGUAAGAUUCAUGGAAUAAAUCUGACCAUAUUAUAUUCCCUUGACAUCUUUCAAGUUCCUGAUUUCUUUUAGGAUAAAGUUCUUUAUGAUGCCAUUCAAAGCUCUUCAUGGUUUGGCCCCUAUCUGGCUUUCUAUUCUCAAGAGCAAAACUAUAGACUUCUGGCCUUCUUCAGGGUGAUCUUUCUCUUUCAAUCAUAGUCCCUCCCCAACCACUCACCAAAUAUCAGUUUUUAGAAGUCUUGUCUCUUGCAGGGAGUAGAGAGGGGGCAGUAAUAGUUUAUUCAGGGAUUCCCCCAUAUCUUUCCUGGGUAAAGGUAUUCUAGAAGGAGGCAGAGGAAGGAGGCUAGAGGUCCCACUGUUUGGCAUUCAGGCUUUCACUUAAUGCUCACUUUAGCCCUGCUUCACAGUCCCCUACUACCUACUGUGACUAAUAUUCUCAAGUCAAGAGUCUCUCCCAUUCUAGAAAAUAAAUCAGGCUCCUGGGAUGUGGUGAUGGUGUUAUAGGGGCAUGUGUGGGUAUGAGUGUGUGUGUAUGUGUGUAUGUGUGUGGGGUGGCAGUCCUUUGGUUAUAUGGGAUUGGGGAAUAGACCCAGGAAUGUAGGUGUUCUUUAUAUAGGCUUUCACCCUUCCCUAAAAUUUUCUGCCCUGAUCCUUUCUAAUUUUUUUGUGGAAAGAAUUAGCUCUUUUAAUUUAUUUAUUUUAUUUUAUUUUAUUUCAUUUUAUUUUAUUUUUUUGAGAUGGAAUCUUGCUCUGUUGCCCAGGCUGGAGUGCAGUGGUGUGAUCUUGGCUCACUGUAACCUCUGCCUCCCAGGUUCAAGCGAUUCUCCUGUCUCAGCCUACUGACUAGCUGGGACUACAGGCAUGUACCACCAUGCCAGGUUAAUUUUUUGUAUUUUUAGUAGAGACGGGCUUUCACCAUGUUAGCCAGGAUGGUCUCCAUCUCCUGACCUCGUGAUCUGCCUGCCUCAGCCUCCCAAAGUGCUGGGAUUACAGACGUGAGCGACUGCGCCCGGCAUCUUUUUAUAUUUUUAAAAGGUCACAUGUAUGUCCUUUCCUGUGAACUGUUUAUAUUCUUUGCCAAAGUGCUGGGAUUACAGACAUGAGCCACUGCACCUGGCCUUACCUCUUCUUUUUUUCUUUAAUCACCUGUGGAGGCUUUUAGAUUGUGCCUUUUGCUGUCAAGUCUACUACUACUCUUCCAUCGGCUUGUCAUACAACCAUUUGUUGAAAUUUCUUUUGUAUUUUGUUUGCCUUUUGGGCUCUACACUUUUUAAAAAUUUAUUUAGCUGUCAAAGAGAUGACAUACUGUGUAUGGUUAAUUUUCCAUGUAUUCUGGAGUUCUAAUAUAUUUUCAUGGUUUUUAAAUGUUUAGUUCUUUAAUCAAGUUGGAAUUUUUAAAAUAUAUAUGAAGUAGGAUGCUAAUUUAAAACUUUUCCUCCAAAUGGAUAUCCAUCCAGUUGUCUCAACAUCAUGUAUAGAAAAAACAAAUUGAAAAUGCUAUCUUAUCAUAUUAUUUACUAAAUUUACAUGCAUAUACAUAUACAUACAUAACAUAUAUCUGAGUUUGAGUCUGAAUUCACUACUGUUUCAAUUGCUGUAGUUGGUCAAUUCUAGUAUGACAGAGUUUUAAUUGCUACAGUUUUGGAAUGAUUAUGGGGUUACUUUUGAGACAGGGUCUGGCUAUCUUGCCCAGACUGGUCUCAAACUUACCGGCUCAAGCAAUCCUCCCAUCUCAGCCUCUUAAAGUGUUGGGAUUAUAGGUAUGAACCACUGCACCUGGCCCUGGAUUGCAUUUUGACUGUGGCCAUAGAAGUUUCCACUCAGAUCUUCAAGAGAACCUACUCUGGGGACUACAAGUGACUGACAGCCAGCUGCCACCCCUUUGGAACUACCAUGCAUUCAUGUCAAUGCCACAUAUCUCUGGAGUCGCCCCCAGCUAGUGGCUGAGCACAGCAGGAGUACUAAACUUGUUCUUUCUUGCCCAGUGCAGAACUCCUCUAACGGGCAACUUUGGCUUGGGGAACUUCUCAUCAGCCUGGAUGAGACUAUCUUAGAACUACAGUGUAGUCGAGGCUCUUUCUACCCAAUAUUUCCUUCUCUUCUUUUUACAGAAGUCAGACCUGCACCACAGUCUGAAGUCUCUCUGCCAAUUCCUGAGCCUUCCCACUUUAUCCUUCACAAACAUUUCCCCCAAUAAAUAUCUUGCAUGUCUAAUCCCUUCUUGGCAUCUGCUUCUCUGAGGACCAGAACAGACAGGUGGUUUACCAAGUGGUGCAAGAAAACAGAUAGUAAGAUGGGUUUUGGGCAAUGGCUUACUUGGUCCCUGGCACAAAGCAGCCAUCUGAGUCCUGAUUUAGCCAGCAGUGACCUAGGAAAACAUCCCAGAGAAGGGAAAUCCUCUUGCUCGUGCAAUUUAGGCAUUUAAAAGAUAUGGGGAAUACGAUGCCUACAAAGAAAGCAGAGCUGGCCAACUGUUACUAAGACAAGUAAUGCCUUGCAGAUGGAUAAUGAGAAACCGAGAGCACUUAAACAGUUAAAGGCUAAGUGUGGGAGCCGGGGGCUUCUCUGGAGCUUAACAAACUUUUAUUUCCUGCAGUGGAAGAGCAGAAAUGGGAUUGGAUGGUCACAGAGCUCUAAAGAUAUUUGAAUGCUCAGCCUAGGGAGAUCCAGUAUGUAGUCAGGGCGCUGGUUGGGGAAACCAGCCUGAAGCUUUGAAACAUGGAAUGGGUGCCCCUGAGGAUUUUGGCUCUGUAGAUACCUCUGGACACUCAAGAGCUUACAGAACUGGCUCAUACUUCCUAGUAAGAGCAAGCACUUCCCUCAUUACAGAAAGACCUCUUCCAUAAUUGUUCUCAGUUUUUCUCCUGGCUGCCAAGCCAUGGUAACUGGAGUUAACAUCUCAGCAUAAUCUGCCUAGGAACUGCUGGCCCUGAUAAGAAAGGAAAGAUUACACACCGAAGGAAUUGAAAUAAGUUACCAUGACUAUCAGGAGCCAGAGAAGUAUACUUAGGAUUGGAUUUUAAGGGUGUUCAAUUAAGGGGGCUGGAAUUUAAGACAACAUAAGCAAGACUUCAUGGACUUGGGGUACUUUUUUGGGACAGAUUUAACCUCAGCAAGUAGUCCCGAGGUUAGCUUUUCAAAGCCUGGAAAAGGUGAUGGCUUUGAAAAAGUGGAAAUGAAUUCACACCAUGGCAGCUUUUAACUUGAGGAGAAGAUAGCUAUUUAUUUUGGCAUAUUUAUGUGGUUACUGCUCACUUACUAGUCCCAAUUGUUUUGUAACCACUUUUUAUUUAUUUUUUGAGAUAGUCUCAUUCUGUUUUCUAGACUGGAGUACAGUGGUGCAAUCUUGGCUCAUUGCAACCUCUACCUCUUGGGCUUAAGCCAUCCUCCCACCUCAGCCUCCUAAUUUUUGCAUUUUUUGCAGAGAUGGGGUUUCCCCAUGUCACCCAGGCUGGUCUUGAACUCCUGGACUCAAGUCAUCUGCCCAUUUUGGCCUCCCAAAGUGCUGGGAUUACAGGCGUGAGCCACCACAUCGGGACUGUUUUUUUUGUUUUUUGAGAUGGAGUCUUGCUCUUGUUGCCAAGGCUGGAGUACAAUAGCACCAUCUCAGCUUACUCCAACCUCCACCUCCCGGGUUCAAGCAAUUCUCCUGCCUCAGCCUCCCGAGUAGCUGGGAUUACAGGCACCUGCCACUACACUUGGCUAAUUUUUAUAUUUUUAGCAGAGACGGGUUUUCGCCAUGUUGGCCAGGCUGGUCUCAAACUCCUGACUUUGUGAUCCGCCCACCUCGGCCACCCAAAGUGCUGGGAUUACAGGUUUUAGCCACCAUGCCCGGCCACCUGGCCUGUUUUAUACCAAUUUAAAGUGUUUUUUUAGGCUUCACAUGGUGGUUCAUGCCUGUAAUCCCAGCACUCUGGAAGGCCAAGGUGGGAGGAUCGCUUGAGCCCAGGAGUUUGAGAUCAGCACCUGGGCAACAGAGCGAGACCUCACCUCUACUAAAAAUUAAAAAAAAAAAAAAAAUUAACCAGGCAUGGUAGUCCAUACCUGUAGUACCAGCUACUUGGGAGGCUGAGGCAGGAGGAUCCCUUGAGCCUAGGAGUUCAAGGUUGCAGUAAGCUAUGAUUAUGUCACUGCACUCCAGCCUGAGUGACAGUAAGACCCUGUCUAAAAAAUAAAUAGUGGUUUUUAGAUGAUCAUCUGCAAAUAUUUUUGUUCUUUCCCUGUAUCCCUUUUUAAUCUCAUCACAUUGAUUAGGACAUCCAGAACACUGGUGAUUCUUGUUUUGUUCCUGACUUUAAUGGCCAUGUUUCCAGUGUUGUAUACAUGUUCCUAAUUUUUGAUACAUACCACUUGUGACGUUAAGGACAUUUCCUGAUAUUCUAAACUCUCUAGGAAAUGGAUAUUGAAUUAUUAAAAAAAAAAGUCUCUUUUUAGCCUGGGCAACAUAGUGAGACCCAGUCUCUAAAAGAACAACAACAGCAAAAAAUUUGCUGGCAUGCUGGUGCAUGCUGGCAGUCCCAGCACCUCAGCAGGCUGAGGCAGGAGGAUCACUUCAGCCCAGGAGUUUGAGGCUACAGUGAACUAUGAUCCUGCCACUGCACUCCAGCCUGGGCAACAGAGCAAGACCCUGUCUCCAAAAAAAAAAAAAAAAAAAAAAGAAAAACAGGACCAUUUUUUGCAUCUGGUGACCAUAUGGUUUUCUCUUAAUAUUAUGACAAUUUAUAACUGUUCUCAUAAAUGAUAAUGAUCUAUAAAUUUUUAUGUUUGCUUUUUUUUAAUCAUCUCUUCUAGGUUAUGAGUCCUAGGCAAUUGCAUUAAAUUUUAUAACCAUAGUAUUAAAAAAACUAUUUAUAGUCAACAACUCAAGUUUGGUUUUCAUGAAACACUGGGUAUUUUUCAAUGCUUCCCAUCCCAUGCAGGAUAAAGUCAGAGUACUAAAUCUCAUAUUCUAAACUCCCACACAAUCUGACGUCUAUUUACUGGCUUCUUCAUCCAUUAAUAAAACUGUUCCUUCUCCACAAAGUGCCUUUCCCUUUAUAAUCGUCCUUUAAAGCCCAGCUCAAAUACUAACUCUCUAUAUUGAAAUCCAGUUCAAAUUCCACUUCUUAGAAACCUUCAUUUUUCCUUCUAGUUUACCUCUUCUCUUUUUAUAGCAUGACUUUUUAAAAACUUUCAUUAUAGUGCUCACCAACCUGCCUUUCAUUAAUUAGUAACUCUGUAUUAGACUAUAUUUAAGUCCCUGAAGGAAACAAACUAUUCCAUAGCAGAGUACUGUGCUCCUAAUAGGUAGUUUUAAAGUUUUUAUUACAUUAAAAUUAAUUUUGUAAAUUUCUGUUAUAUUGAAGCCUCUUGCAAUGAUCUGAGAUAUGCUUUAGAUGGCAAAACUGAGGUUGCUUUAAAUAUUACCUUUACAAAAGUCACUUAUUACCAAAUUGCCUUUUAGACCAUUUUACCUGUCUGUUGGUUGAUGACUUCAUACUCAUAUUUAAUGAGUCAGACAUCUCUCUCUUUUUUGAGACACAGUCUGGCUCUGUUGCCCAGGCUGGAGUACAGUGGGACAAUCAUAGCUCACUGCAGCCUUGAAUUACCGGGCCCAAGUGAUCCUCCUACCUGAGCCCUCAGCCUCCCAAGUAGCUGAGAUUACAGGUGCGCACCACCAUGCCAGGCUAAUUUUUUUAUUUUCUGUAGAACAAGGUGUGACCAUUUGGCCCAAGCUGGUACUGAACUCCUGGGCUCAUGUGAUCCACCCACCUUGGCCUCUCAAAGUGCUGGGAUUACAAGCCACCACACCCAGGCCAUCUUUAAACUAUUUAAAACUAUUUAAACUCUUUAAAACUAUUUUGUCCAUUGGCCAGGUAUGGUGGCUGACGCCUGUAAUCCCAGCACUUUGGAGGCUGAGGCGGGCAGAUCACAAGGUCAACAGAUUGAGACCAUCCUGGCCAACAUGGUGAAACCCCGUCUCUACUAAAAAUACAAAAAUUAGCUGGGAAUGGUGGCGUGCAGCUGUAAUCCCAGCUACUCGGGAGGCUGAGGCAGGAGAAUCGCUUGAACCUGGGAGGCGGAGGUUGCAGUGAGCCGAGAUCACACCACUGCACUCCAGCCUGGCAACAGAGCGAGACUCCAUCUCAAAAACAAAAACAACCCUAUUUUGUCCCUUUUAGUUUCUAUUUAUGUAACAGAUCCUAUUGUCCUCACAAUCCUCAGCCUGAAAUCCUUAGUCAUAACUGCCGCUCUCUUCCCUCCACUUGCCACUCACUCCCCAUUUUAUCUGGGUUAAGUCCAUCCAUUAUCCCUUAUAUUUGCUCUGCAACAUCUUGGUAUGUGCCCAGCCCACUUUUUCUGAAUACACUCUCUUCUCAGAAGUGAGCUCUUGGUAAUUUUCUGACCAGUUGCUUAUACCAGGUUUAGGGUUACCAGAUUUAGCAAAUAAAAAUAUAGACAAUUGUCUGACCAGUUGCUUAUAUCUGGCUUAUGGGUACCAGACUUAGCAAAUAAAAAUAUAGGACAUUCAGUUAAAUUAUUUGAACUUCAGAUAAACAAGGAAUAAUCUUUUAGUGUUACAUGGGACCUACACUGAACAUCUGUUUAUCUGUAAUUCCAAUUUAAUUUGGCAUCAUUAUUUUAUCUGGCAAUCUCAGUCAGGUUUAACACCUUUCCCAAGCUGAGCUUGUCAUUUCCUCCAAAAGAACACAAACCUAUAAAGGACAGGUAACGUCCUGUGGGACAGCCAUCCUUUGCCCUAUGCUGAGAAAACAGGUUUGCAGAGAAUAAAAACGAACAAAUAAAUAAACAUUUAAAAAAGCAGUUGUGUGGAAAGAAGCACAAAAGAGAGGCCAUGAGACUCCAUAAUUAAGCAGAGAUGAACUGCCCUAGUUCUUAAUGGCUUGUUAGUCCUCAUUCCAGUCUUCCACAGGGUGUGACUUGGCUUCCAUAAAAUAAACUCACGGUCCCAUGAUCAUUUUCCCUCUUUGCUUUAGCAAGAAUCUUUAACUAAAACAACUCUCUUUUCAUUUCCACUGUCUACCACUCUAGUCUCAACUCUCAUGAGUCUGGAAUUUUGCAAAAGCCUGAUAAACUUGUCACAUGAUUCCAGUGUCUACCCAUUCCUUGUAAGUAACCAAGAUAUUCUUGCCUGAUUAAAUGCUUUGAAAAUAUCAUCUUAGGCCAGGCGCAGUGGCUCACACCUGUAAGCCCAACACUUUGGGAGGCUGAGGUGGGCGGAUCACUUGAUGUCAUGAGUUCGAGACCAGCCUGGCCAAUAUGGUGUAACCCCGUCUCUACUAAAAAUACAAAACUUAGCUGGGUGUAGUGGCGGGCGCCUGUAGUCCCAGCUACUCGGGAGGCUGAGGCAGGAGAAUAGCUUGGACCCGGGAGGUGGAGGUUGCAGGGAGGUGGAGGUUGCAGGGAGGUGGAGGUUGCAGUGAGCUGAGAUCACGCCACUGUGCUACAGCCUGGGCGACACAGUGAGACUCCGUCUCAAAAAAAGAAAAAAAAAAAAAUAUCAUAUUGUAUUGGCCAUCCCUUGUUUCAUAUUCGUUAAUAAACUUUGCUACUUUGCUUUCUAAUUUCGGUGAAGAACAAGCACAAGAUUAAGGAGUAAGACUAUGUGAAACUGGGUUAUAAAUUGAAAGGCUGUUGGCUGUUGUAUCUUGUAAACAAUUCAACGCAAUGCCAAGUGAAAAUGAAGUUGUUAGUCCCUCUAUCUAGAAUUCUUUCCCAAAUAGCUGCAUAUCUUUUUCCUCUGCUUCAUUUAAGUCUGUGCUGAAAUGUUAUCUACUCAGAGAAGACAUUCUGGAUCAUUUCAUAUUAAAUAGUAACUUUUAUCACUCUAUCUCUUUAUCUAGUUGUUUUUCUUUAAGGUACCUACCACUACCUGACAUGUUGUACAGUUAAGUUCUUACUUAAUGUCUUCGAUAGGUUCUUGCAAACUGUAACUCUAAGAUAAACUACAUAAAAUGAAACCAAAUUUACCACAGGCUAAUUGAUAUAAACAAGAGUUAAGAUCCUAUGGCACAUUUCUGGUAAAAAAAAAAAAUUACCAAACUUGCAAAUAAAGACCAAAACAUUUCUGAUGUUAAACACUGAAGUAAAUGUGAGCUAGACAACAUUCAAGAAAGAUGAAUAAAACAAGAUGAUUUAUCAAAUUACAACAGUUCAGGGUUUUGGGUGGUUGGAGCCCAUCCUGGCAGUUCAGGGUGCCAGGUGGGAAGUGAUACUAGACAGGACAGCCAUCACAUUGCAGGGUGCACUCACACACACAUCCACACUCACUCAGACUGGGCAACAAGAGCAAAACUCUGCCUCAAAACAAACAACAAACAAAAUAAAAUAAAUUAUCCAGACUCAGGUAUUUCUUCUUUCUUUUUUGAGAUGGAGUCUCCCUGUGUCACCCAGGCUGGAGUGCAGUGG
rnacentral:lncRNA from 1 species